AUGGUCAUGAAACGGUGUGUUUGGGGAAGACGUAGGGUUUUAUCUUGUGACUGUUCAGCUUCCCGAGUUAAGACAAAAUCCCCUAUUCUCUAUCGCGGGACUCAAUGGCGUCGUAUCUCCACUGUCGAUCAACUUUGUUCAUUGCUGAUUGUUCGUUCUCCGGCAUUCCUCUUCUUCACAUAUCAAACCCCAACCUCUCGCGUCUUGGUAUCGUUUGUUUUGCCAAUCCAAACUUCAAACUUCUUCCAUCUUAAUCUGUCUUCGUCGGCCAACAACACCGUUCUUAACAAGAAUCUCUCCUCCUUUUCCUCAAAAAUAUCAUCUCUUCUGAUCCGAAUGAAGGCAAAUCACAAUAUAACGAAAAAUAUGAAGGAAGACGAAAUAACAACGUUUACCUACCAGAGACGAGUCUGGCGCUCCUUUGGCGGAGGCCAUGAGAAAGCAUAA